GACGAACGCUGGCGGCGUGCUUAACACAUGCAAGUCGAGCGGAAAGGCCCUUCGGGGUACUCGAGCGGCGAACGGGUGAGUAACACGUGAGUAACCUGCCCUUGGCUCUGGGAUAGCUCCGGGAAACCGGAAUUAAUACCGGAUAUGACCUCGGCCGACAUCGGCUGUGGUGGAAAGAUUUAUCGGCCAGGGAUGGGCUCGCGGCCUAUCAGCUAGUUGGNGGGGUAACGCCUACCAAGGCGACGACGGGUAGCCGGCCUGAGAGGGCGACCGGCCACACUGGGACUGAGACACGGCCCAGACUCCUACGGGAGGCAGCAGUGGGAAUAUUGCGCAAUGGGCGAAAGCCUGACGCAGCGACGCCGCGUGGGGAUGAAGGCC
rnacentral:rRNA from 1 species